rnacentral:piRNA from 1 species
UGGGUGUGAGAUGCUUUUAUGAGCUGU